rnacentral:rRNA from 1 species
UACGAAGGGUGCAAGCGUUACUCGGAAUUACUGGGCGUAAAGCGUGCGUAGGUGGUUUGUUAAGUCUGAUGUGAAAGCCCCGGGCUCAACCUGGGAACUGCAUUUGAAACUGGCGGGCUUGAGUAUGGCAGAGGGGGGUGGAAUUCCGCGUGUAGCAGUGAAAUGCGUAGAGAUGCGGAGGAACACCGAUGGCGAAGGCAGCCCCCUGGGCCAAUACUGACGCUCAGGCACGAAAGCGUGGGGAGCAAACAGG